ACCUGGUUGGCUCAGUGGGUAGAGUGUGUGACUCUUGAUCUCAGGGGUUGUGGGUUCAAGCCCUACAUUGGAUG
rnacentral:tRNA from 1 species